rnacentral:rRNA from 1 species
GAUGAACGCUGGCGGCGUGCCUAAUACAUGCAAGUCGAGCGAACAGACGAGGAGCUUGCUCCUCUGACGUUAGCGGCGGACGGGUGAGUAACACGUGGAUAACCUACCUAUAAGACUGGGAUAACUUCGGGAAACCGGAGCUAAUACCGGAUAAUAUAUUGAACCGCAUGGUUCAAUAGUGAAAGACGGUUUUGCUGUCACUUAUAGAUGGAUCCGCGCCGCAUUAGCUAGUUGGUAAGGUAACGGCUUACCAAGGCAACGAUGCGUAGCCGACCUGAGAGGGUGAUCGGCCACACUGGAACUGAGACACGGUCCAGGCUCCUACGGGAGGCAGCAGUAGGGAAUCUUCCGCAAUGGGCGAAAGCCUGACGGAGCAACGCCGCGUGAGUGAUGAAGGUCUUCGGAUCGUAAAACUCUGUUAUUAGGGAAGAACGAAUGUGUAAGUAACUAUGCACGUCUUGACGGUACCUAAUCAGAAAGCCACGGCUAACUACGUG